rnacentral:rRNA from 1 species
AGGACGAACGCUGGCGGCGUGCCUAAUGCAUGCAAGUCGAGCGACGAAUAGGUGAGGGUAACCAAGCCUAUUACGGAGCGGCGAACGGGUGAGUAACACGUGAGCAACCUGCCCCGAAGACCGGGAUAGCCCAGGGAAACUUGGAUUAAUACCGGAUAUCCUCUUUGAUCGCAUGGUCGUUGGAGGAAAUGUCUUUUACGCGUUCGGGAUGGGCCUCGCGGCCUAUCAGUCGUUGGUUGGUACGGGGUAACGGCCUACCGAAGGCCGUACGACGGGUAGCGUGGUCUAGGAGAGGACG